CCAACACAGAGCACUGUUUAGUAAUGCGUGAAAAAUGGUCAAAAAAUGUCAUAGUAUUGUAAGGAGUGAAAAAUGGUCAAAAAAAAUGUCAUAGUAUAGUAAGGCAUGAAAAACCGUCAAAAAUGUCAUAGUAGUAAGGCGUCAAAAAACCAUCAAAAAAUGUCAAAGGCAUGAAAAAUGAUCAAUAAUGUCAUAGUAUUGUAAGGCAUGAAAAAUUUCAUAAUAAAGUAAGGCAUGAAAAAUGGUCAAAAAAUGUCAUAGUAUAGUAAACUGUCAAAGGUUGAAAUGUGAAAUAAUGAUUCUGUAUGUGACCAUCUGUGGUGGAAGAAAUACUCAGACUUCAUUGUAGUAUAAUAAACAACACAAGUUAAAGUCCUGCAUUCAAAGAUUUACUUAACUGAUAGUGUUUAUUAUUGUUGUGCAGUUCACAGUAACAUAUAUCAUUGCUUCAGUGAUUAGUUCAUAGACACACAAUUAAUAAUCACUUUAUAUUCUUCAUACUUCAUAUACUUCAUAUAUUUCUUUUUGAUCUCCUCCAGGUGUCACCACUUUGUCCGCAACAUUGUCCACGAUCGCCGAGAUGUCAUCCGUGAUCACAGAGACAUGGUCCAUGAUCGGAGAGACAUUGUUGAGGAUGAGGGAGACAUCGUCCACGAUCAGAGACAUUGUCCAUGAUCGCAGAGACCUUGUCAAAGAUGAGAGAGAUGUUGUCCAUGAUCAGAGACAUUGUCCAUGCUUCGUAGAGACCUUGCGAUAGAAUCGGCGGAGACGGGGGUCACCGAUUUGACGGCAUUGCCCGCGAUCAGGGACAUUGUCGAUGACCAGAGAGACACCAUCUAUGAUCUCAGAGGCAUCGUCCACGAUCACAAAGACAUAGUCCAUGAUCGCAGAGACAUUGUCUAUAAUCUCAGAGACACUGUCCGCGAUCACAGAGACGUAGUCCAAGAUCACAGAGAGUCUUCGUACAAUGAAGAAGUUCUUUGAGACCAAGACAGAGGCCUCCAGGUGUCACCACUUUGUCCACGAUCGCCAAGACAUCAUCCACGAUCACAGAGAAAUGGUCCAUGAUCGGAGAGACAUUGUUGAGGAUGAGGGAGACAUCGUCCACGAUCAGACACAUUGUCCAUGAUUGCAGAGACCUUGUCAAAGAUGAGAGAGAUGUUGUCCAUGAUCAGAGACAUUGUCCAUGCUUCGUAGAGACCUUGCGAUAGAAUCGGCGGAGACGGGGGUCACCGAUUUGACGGCAUUGCCCGCGAUCAGGGACAUUGUCGAUGACCAGAGAGACACCAUCUAUGAUCUCAGAGACAUCGUCCACGAUCACAAAGACAUAGUCCAUGAUCGCAGAGACAUUGUCUAUAAUCUCAGAGACACUGUCCGCGAUCACAGAGACGUAGUCCAAGAUCACAGAGAGUCUUCAUACAAUGAAGAAGUUCUUUGAGACCAAGACAGAGGCCUCCAGGAGAAGACGACAGCAGCUGAAGACCUGAAGUGGAUGAAAGAAAACAAAAGAGGCUGUUAAUUGGAUAAAAGACCUCCACCAUCUCACUACUGUAAACAGUGUUGGUUUCCUGUUGUUCAAGUCAAAACACCUUGUUUUUCUCUACCAUCUGUAAUGUAGUCAUGGGCACAUUUUCCAAAGACUAAUAUGUCUUUAUUAAGCACCUGUGAGAACAUUCAAGUGCUUAUGAUGUAACUAUUUAAUUAAUAAUUGUAUCACAAGCAGUUAAAUGAUCACAAAGAUGCUCAGUAGACAUGUUCUUCUCUGGAAAAUGUGCUCAUAAAUACACUGACCCUAACCCUAUCUAAUGAGUGUUUCCUUGUGGUUAAAUGUUUGGAAUUAACUUUGCUGUGAGUUGUUAAAUGUCUGGAAUAAAGUCAAUUCUCUACUUUGAAACUGAUGUUGUAUAAAUUAUUUUAUUUCCCAGAGCUAUUUUUCAACACUUUGAAAAUGUAUAUUUUUUUUAAAGGUUUUUAAUAUAUUUUAAAGGCUUUACACUUGUUUUGAGUUUGAUAGUUAUUGUUUAGACCUUUUUUUAAAGUUCAAAUUUUAUUUUUUACAGGUUUCAUGCUUAAUUUUUGGACCUAUUUUUAAAGGAUGAGUACUAAAUGUUUUAACUUCAUUUAUCAAAUCUGUGUGUUUAAGUGUUUUAUCCCUUUUUUAGACCUAUUCUAAAGGUUUGAAAUGUACUUUUUUAAAGGUUCCUAUUUAUUUUUACACAUUUUUGCAGGUUUUACAUAAAAACAUUAUAGGUUUUAUACAUAAUAUUUGACGGUUUUCAAUUUUUUUUAUACUUAUUUCUUAAAAGGUUUUCUAUUCAAAACUAUGGUUCUCUAUUUUGUUUUUUUAUAUAUAUUUGUUCUACAUAGACUUUUUACAGCUACAUGGUUGAAAAAUACUAAUUAAAACUAAUAAGUUACAGUUAGUGCUAUUUGUUCCAGACAAGAGGCUUUAAAAUGUCAAACAGCAGCUGAGAUAAUGACAGAGUCUGACUGAA